rnacentral:rRNA from 1 species
AGAGUUUGAUCCUGGCUCAGCGAACGCUGGCGGCGUGCCUAACACAUGCAAGUCGAGCGAUGAAGUUCCUUCGGGAAAUGGAUUAGCGGCGGACGGGUGAGUAACACGUGGGUAACCUGCCUUAUAGUGGGGGAUAGCCUUUCGAAAGGAAGAUUAAUACCGCAUAAGAUUGUAGUAUCGCAUGAUAUAGCAAUUAAAGGAGCAAUUCGCUAUAAGAUGGACCCGCGUCGCAUUAGCUAGUUGGUGAGGUAAUGGCUCACCAAGGCGACGAUGCGUAGCCGACCUGAGAGGGUGAUCGGCCACAUUGGGACUGAGACACGGCCCAGACUCCUACGGGAGGCAGCAGUGGGGAAUAUUGCACAAUGGGCGAAAGCCUGAUGCAGCAACGCCGCGUGAGUGAUGACGGCCUUCGGGUUGUAAAACUCUGUCUUCAGGGACGAUAAUGACGGUACCUGAGG